AUCUGGUGGUGAGGACAACUGGCACAUAGUUUCUUAAAUCUCUCCCAGUACUCAUACAAGCUUUCUCCACUAAGUUGCUUGAUGCCUGAAAUGUCUUUUCUGGUGGU
rfam:Glycine soja cultivar W05 scaffold5316_7, whole genome shotgun sequence.